UCUGUUUGAAGUUAUAAACAGUCAGGCCUGCUCACUGAAUAGACUUUUAAAGAGCCGCGGUAUAUUGACCGUGCUAAGGUAGCAUAAUAAUUAGCUUUUUAAUUGAGAGCUGGAAUGAAAGGUCAGACAAAAAGAAAUCUGUCUUAAGUUCAAUAUUAAAAUUUAAUCUUUAAGUGAAAAAGCUUAAAUAAUUUAGGAAGACGAUAAGACCCUAUAAAGCUUUAUGUAAAAAAAAAUCUUAACUGAAUUAAAAGUAAUAAAAGUUUUAAUUAAUCUUUAUAUUAUAUUGGGGCGAUAAAAGUAUAAUUAAUUUAACUGCUUAUGUUUGUUACAUAAAUAAGUGAGUUUAUAUAAGUGAUCCUUAAUAGAGAUUUUAAGAGCAAGUUACUUUAGGGAUAACAGCGUUAUUUUUUUUGAGAGCUCAUAUCGAAAAAAAAGUUUGCGACCUCGAUGUUGAAUUAAAAUAUCUAUAUAAUGCAGA
rnacentral:rRNA from 12 species